rnacentral:rRNA from 1 species
CAGCAGCCGCGGGAAAACGUAGGUGGCAAGCGUUGUCCGGAAUUAUUGGGCGUAAAGGGCUCGCAGGCGGUUUCUUAAGUCUGAUGUGAAAGCCCCCGGCUCAACCGGGGAGGGUCAUUGGAAACUGGGAAACUUGAGUGCAGAAGAGGAGAGUGGAAUUCCACGUGUAGCGGUGAAAUGCGUAGAGAUGUGGAGGAACACCAGUGGCGAAGGCGACUCUCUGGUCUGUAACUGACGCUGAGGAGCAAAAGCGUGGGGAGCGAACAGGAUUAGAUACCCCCGUAGUCCCUGUCUCUUAUAC